AGAGUUUGAUCCUGGCUCAGGACGAACGCUGGCGGCGCGCCUAACACAUGCAAGUCGAACGAGCGAGAGAGAGCUUGCUUUCUCGAGCGAGUGGCGAACGGGUGAGUAACGCGUGAGGAACCUGCCUCAAAGAGGGGGACAACAGUUGGAAACGACUGCUAAUACCGCAUAAGCCCACGGGUCGGCAUCGACCAGAGGGAAAAGGAGCAAUCCGCUUUGAGAUGGCCUCGCGUCCGAUUAGCUAGUUGGUGAGGUAACGGCCCACCAAGGCGACGAUCGGUAGCCGGACUGAGAGGUUGAACGGCCACAUUGGGACUGAGACACGGCCCAGACUCCUACGGGAGGCAGCAGUGGGGAAUAUUGCACAAUGGGGGAAACCCUGAUGCAGCGACGCCGCGUGGAGGAAGAAGGUCUUCGGAUUGUAAACUCCUGUUGUUGAGGAAGAUAAUGACGGUACUCAACAAGGAAGUGACGGCUAACUACGUGCCAGCAGCCGCGGUAAAACGUAGGUCACAAGCGUUGUCCGGAAUUACUGGGUGUAAAGGGAGCGCAGGCGGGAAGACAAGUUGGAAGUGAAAUCUAUGGGCUCAACCCAUAAACUGCUUUCAAAACUGUUUUUCUUGAGUAGUGCAGAGGUAGGCGGAAUUCCCGGUGUAGCGGUGGAAUGCGUAGAUAUCGGGAGGAACACCAGUGGCGAAGGCGGCCUACUGGGCACCAACUGACGCUGAGGCUCGAAAGUGUGGGUAGCAAACAGGAUUAGAUACCCUGGUAGUCCACACCGUAAACGAUGAUUACUAGGUGUUGGAGGAUUGACCCCUUCAGUGCCGCAGUUAACACAAUAAGUAAUCCACCUGGGGAGUACGACCGCAAGGUUGAAACUCAAAGGAAUUGACGGGGGCCCGCACAAGCAGUGGAGUAU
rnacentral:rRNA from 2 species